UACGAAGGGGGCUAGCGUUGCUCGGAAUCACUGGGCGUAAAGCGCACGUAGGCGGAUUGCUAAGUCAGGGGGUGAAAUCCUGGAGCUCAACUCCAGAACUGCCUUUGAUACUGGCAACCUUGAGUCCGGGAGAGGUGAGUGGAACUGCGAGUGUAGAGGUGAAAUUCGUAGAUAUUCGCAAGAACACCAGUGGCGAAGGCGGCUCACUGGCCCGGUACUGACGCUGAGGUGCGAAAGCGUGGGGAGCAAACAGG
rnacentral:rRNA from 1 species